AAAAGAGCUUUAAGACGCCGCCCUUAUGUGUUGAAACCAGUGAGGGUGAACAGCCCUGAUUCCGUGUUGUGGCCAACCGGCAAGGUGCACAGAAGGCCAAAGCCUUCUACUUCAGUGCAGACCCCUCAGAUCCACAAAAGGCCUCCAAUCAUUGUGAGCUAUGGGCAGGACCAAACAUCUGGGGAUGGAUGGAGCGUCAAUCCAGAGCCUCUCAGCCAGUCUGGAAGGGUGACUCGGCUGAUAGAGAGAAAAAAUGAUGACGUGAUCUCAUCCUCCAGUUCUGAUGACUUUUCCAUCUACUCCUUCACUGACUGUGAAUCGGAGGUAAGAGUUGUACCCUACCGUCCAUGGCUUUGUUGAGUGACAUCACUGUGAGGAGGAUGGUCUCUGACUAGUUGACUCUGAUACACAGUGUGAUG